rnacentral:rRNA from 1 species
CCUACGGGAGGCAGCAGUGGGGAAUAUUGGGCAAUGGAGGAAACUCUGACCAAGCGACGCCGCGUGCGGGAUGAAGGCCUUCGGGUUGUAAACCGCUUUCAGCAGGGAAGAAGCGAAAGUGACGGUACCUGCAGAAGAAGCACCGGCUAACUAUGUGCCAGCAGCCGCGGUAAUACAUAGGGUGCAAGCGUUGUCCGGAAUUAUUGGGCGUAAAGAGCUCGUAGGUGGUUCGUCACGUCGGAUGUGAAAAUCUGGGGCUUAACCCCAGACCUGCAUUCGAUACGGGCGAGCUUGAGUAUGGUAGGGGAGUCUGGAAUUCCUGGUGUAGCGGUGGAAUGCGCAGAUAUCAGGAGGAACACCAAUGGCGAAGGCAGGACUCUGGGCCAUUACUGACACUGAGGAGCGAAAGCGUGGGGAGCGAACAGGAUUAGAUACCCUGGUAGUCCACGCCGUAAACGGUGGGCACUAGUUGUGGGGACCUUCCACGGUCUCUGCGACGCAGCUACGCAUAAGUCGCCCGCCGUCGGGAGGUACGACGUCGCGAAGAAUUAAACUAACGAAAGAAGUUAGACGGCGUGAGACGUGCCGACGGACGACGACGAGGGAGGUAGG